UUUUUCUUUUUUUUUUUUUUUUAAGAUUUAUUUAUUUAUUUAUGACAGACACGGAGAGAAAGGCAGAGACAUAGGCAGAGGGAGAAGCAGGCUCCCCACAAGGAGCCCAAUUAAGGACUCAAUCCCAGGACCCUGGGAUCAUACCCUGAGCUGAAGGCAGACGCUCAACCACUGAGUCACCCAGGCAUCCUGACCAAAGCUUUUCCCAUUGUACUAUGCUACUCCCAUGCUACUCAUCUAUAACUUGUAUAUUUGGAUCAGUCUUAUAGAGCUUAAAAAUUGUUUCUAAUUCAUCUUAUUACUUCAGGUUUAAGUGGAAGAUAACCAAUUUUUCCUUUGUUCUUUCCUCUUGCCAAAAGUGUUUUGGACCAAGUUUUAUAGUAAGUUGUUUUAUGUUUUGCUUGUUUAACUUGUAUAUUGGAGAGGAUUUUAAAAAGUGAAUAUUAUGAAUAGCAAAUAUGUCAAAUAAAAUAUAUAUUCCUAAUGUUAUAUGGCUUGUUCUCAGAGAUAGCCAUACAUCUUUCUUUGGCCAGAGGGACUGCCUAAGUUAACACCUCUUACCCAGCAAAAUAAUUAACAGAACCCUCUUUCAUUCUCAAAAAUUCUCUCAUGUGGAAGAGAAGGUUAAUCAUAGCUGCACUUGAGAACCACUGCAUAGGAAAAGGAAGUGCCUCUCUCUUAUAGAACACUAGGCUUAAUGUUCUAUAAGCCUAUAAUAACAGAAGCAUCUUCCUAAUGAUGCUUCUGGUAUUUUUCAACGUCUAGGCAAACUGCAGUCCAGUCAACACUCUAAAAAUUUUUUUCUCAUGAAGUCAUUAUAGUUUUACUAAUAUUAAAAAAUCUUUCAAAUAGGAGUGCCUGGGUGGCUCAGUCAGUUGAGCAUCUGACUCUUAGUUUUGGCUUGUGUCAUGGUCUUGGGUUGUAGGAUUGGCCCCCUUCUCUGGCUCCACACUAAGCAAGGAGUCUGCUUCUCUCCUUCUGCCUCUCCCUCUGCUCACACUCUCUCUCUAGAAUAAAUAAGUAAAUCUUAAAAAAAAAAAUCUUUCAAAGUAAAUUAAAUGAUGCCUUUUUUACCAUGAAUUAAUUAUUAGUUUUACAACCUAAUAAAGCAAACAUGAUUCUUUUCUAAACAUAUUGAGGUAUAUAUGUGUGUGUGUGUGUGUAUGUAUAUAUGUGUGUAUAUAUAUAUAUAUAUAUAUAUAUAUAUAUAUAUAUGUGUAUAUAUAUAUAACCAAAAAGUGACUUGUUAAAAAGACCCUAAAUAGCAAAUAAAUGUUCACCUUCCCUAAACUUUUUUUCACAAAAGAUAGACUAAUCUCUUCCACUGAUUUAAGAGUUUUAUAAGUUUUAUCUCUGUAGGUCAAGACUUCUUCAUAUCAUAGUUUUGAACAUUUGAGUUGUCUGAUCUGGGUUAUCUCAUUGCCAUCUCCCUUCAAAAUAUCAAUGUCACAACAUAAUCAUUGCAUGCUUUCUCAUGCUAUUGUGUUUUUUCUACUCUGCUCCAUCAUCUUGGAAGGCCCUUCAUAAUCAGUCUCAUCUGGUGGCCAUUUUCCCUAUACAUGGUGACUUGCAUGGUGACAUAUCCUUCUAAACUUUUCUCAGGUAGCACCAUCUGUGGGAAAUCUCUCUCAACUGAAUCAAGUACCACUUCUCCAAGUUCUUCCUCAGCAAAAUCCCAAAUAACAUCGAACCCAGACUUACUCAGCUUUUGCUAUGACCAAGGCAUUGUGCUAGAUGCCAGGGAAUGCAGCAGUGAAUCACACAGACGUAUUACUGCUCUCUCACGGAAUUUUACAUUUUAAGCUCACAGUAUGUUACCCUAUUUUCAUCAUUGCUUUACUUGGUUAUCUCAGCCAAUGGAUUAUAAAUCCCAUCCAAGUAGAGAUGGUCUUAUUUGUCUUCGAAUUUUUAGAGCCUGGAUUAAGGCUUGGAAUUAAUAGGAAUUUAACCUACCAUGAGAAAUAUCUUGAAGAUACCUGAAAUCUGGAGGUGCCUGGGUGGCUCAGUCAGUUAAGCGUGUCCGACUCUUGGUUUCAGCUCAGGUCAUGAUCUCAGGGUCCUGGGAUAGAGCCCUGCAUUGGGCUCUGGCUCCAUACUCAGCUGGGUAUCUGCUUGUCCCUCUUCCUCUCCCCUUGCUCCUCUUCCCCCACUCAUGCUCUCUCUCUCUGUCAGAUAUAUAAACAAAAUCGAAGAAGAAGAAGAAGAAGAAGAGGAGGAGGAGGAGGAGGAGGAGGAGGAGGAGGAGGAGGAGGAGAAAUAUGACAUCUGGACUUCUAUUUUCCCCAGGGUAAUAGUUUUAGAAACACUUACUAAAACAGGAGAGUUGGAUGAAUCGCAUAUGUUUAAACUUCCAGUUUACUUAAAAAUUAAAUAUUUCAAAUAUUUUCUUUUCUCUACUGAAUUUACAGGUUGAAGAGGUUGCAAUAUUGUUUUUCUCUCAUCUCCAAUAGUAUUGCUAAUCUUCAUUUCCCCCCCUGCAAUAUGAAAGCUCUUCCAUUUCAUUCCAAAGUGUUUGGCAGAAGUGAAAGCUGCCAUGACAAAGAAUAGAUACUCAGCUUCACUUCUGCUGAGCUGUUAGUUCCUGCCCUUAAAAUAGGUAGAGGAUACAAAGGUCAAGCACGAUAACCUCAUUCCUUGUGACAGGUCAACUAAUAUCUAUAAAGUUGAAAUGGAGCUCAGUAAUAAAAAAAUUUUGCAAUUGCUGUAGAACAAUUUGGGUGCUACUUUAUCUUGAUUUAGGUAGCAGACUAUUAGAGAUGUCUCUGGAUUCAAAGAACGUGCACAAGAGGAGGGCAAAGUGGUCAGACUUAAAGGGCCCUCGGUAAAAAUGAACAAAUACAAGCCUGUGUGCUGGAUCUCAGAGCCAGUGUUCUUUGUCAAGGAGCCUAAGGAGAAAACUUGCUUUAGAAUACUUAUCUUAGCAUCAAACCUUCUAAUAACUUGUAACUACUUUCUCUUCCUUUCUCAUUUCUCCACUGCCUUCUCUCCACUGUGUACUGUGUGUUCUGCGUGUGUGCAUACAAAACCAUGGUCACAUACAUGCAAACACACCCCUGCUUUCCUCCUCAUAAAUACCGACAUCUUAGUGUUUAAGCACACCAAGGAAGAAAUCUAUGAAACCCCUAUAAACAAGACACCGCCCAAUGUUUAAAUCUUACCAACAUGAGCAUUUCAGGAACUGUCUAAACACAUCACAUCCAAACAGCUAAAAUAAGAAAUUAAUCACUCCUCAUCUUACUCCAGAGUUCAUUAAUGAACAAAUUAGCAGGUCUCUCUUAAAAAAUUUUCAUUUAAAAUAGGUGUAGCUUUGUAAAUAAUGUUUAAUGAAAUGUUCAAGCUUGGAAAUAAGUGAUUCCAUUCAUUUAUUCAUUGAAAACAUUUUUUUUUAAUUUCACUUUCUUUUUAAAGAUUUUAUUUAUUUAUUCAUGAGAGACACAGCGAGAGAGAGAGUCAGAGACAUAGGCAGAGGGAGAAGCAGGCUCACCUCAGGGAACCCAAUGUGGGACUGGAUCCCGGCACUCCAGGAUCACACCUUGGGCUGAAGUUAGGCGCCAAACCACUGAACCACCCAGGCAUCCCUAGUUUCACAUUUUUAUUUAAAUUCCAGUGAGUUAAUAUGCAGUGUACUAUUACUUUCAGGUGUAGAAUUUAGUAAUUCAUCACCUGCAUAUCACACCCAGUGUUCAUCACAAGUGCCCUCCCUAAUACUCAUCACCCAUUUUUUCAGCAUGUCCUAAAUACAAGAUUGUGUGGUACACAUUUGGGGGAGGGGGAGGAAAAGCUGAAAAAGCCAUAAAUUAUUACCAAGAUGCUUCUCCUCGGUAGUGAGCUUAUGGUUGCCAGCAGAAGUGAUGAAAAAUUGUCCUAGGAGUGCAGAUGAGGCGUGAGCUUUGCACACUGGGGCAUUUCUGAUUAGAAAUGCCUUCAUCUGGGACACAGCUUUUGUCUGGAUGCCGAAAAUCAUUACAGGCAAGGGAGAGGGACAUUUGGAAGAAAGAGCAUUAGGCAAGGCAAGAGAGUAAGCAAAGCAAUGCAUAGAGAAUUAAUCCCAUUUGCAUGGACCACUGAAGGAGGGAACACCUUGAGGACAACACUGGCAAAGUUGGUUUGGGCCAAAUCGUGGCGUGCCUUGAACGCCAAGCAAAGAGCUUUAUCCACUUGAACCUGCACUCUACAGGGGAAACCACUGAAGUUUUCCGAGUAAGGAUUCAGAGUUUGGCUUUAGUUGAUGUAAUUGGAUGGAAGAGAUACUUCUUCCCACAAGAAGAGGGGAAGAAAAAGAAAAUAGAGGAAAUAUAGAGAAAUUUAGAGCCAGGAAAGAGGGAAGUCACAAAAACCACCUCAAGUCCUAGAAUAAAAGAAAAUAAAAGUCCUUGCAGAGAGCAAGUAGAUAUGGGUGAGGUUCGGAACCUCUGCAGAAAGCGAAAGUUGGUUAUGAAGCCUUACAGAUUUACUAGAAAUAUGUUAUAGAAUAAGAAGAAAGGUUAAAAAAAAAAAAAAAAAA
rnacentral:lncRNA from 1 species